rnacentral:rRNA from 1 species
AACGUAGGUGGCGAGCGUUAUCCGGAAUUACUGGGCGUAAAGGGCGCGUAGGCGGCCUGCUAAGUCGGAUGUGAAAUCCCUCGGCUCAACCGAGGAACUGCAUCCGAUACUGGCGGGCUUGAAUCCGGGAGAGGGAUGUGGAAUUCCAGGUGUAGCGGUGAAAUGCGUAGAUAUCUGGAGGAACACCGGUGGCGAAGGCGGCAUCCUGGACCGGUAUUGACGCUGAGGCGCGAAAGCUAGGGGAGCAAACGGG